rnacentral:rRNA from 1 species
AGAGUUUGAUCCUGGCUCAGAUUGAACGCUGGCGGCAUGCCUUACACAUGCAAGUCGAACGGCAGCGCGGGGGCAACCCUGGCGGCGAGUGGCGAACGGGUGAGUAAUAUAUCGGAACGUGCCCUAGAGUGGGGGAUAACGUAGCGAAAGUUACGCUAAUACCGCAUACGAUCUACGGAUGAAAGGGGGGAUCGCGAAGA